rnacentral:tRNA from 1 species
UAGGCCUAUGAAAAAUUAAUUUCUAACCCAAAUUUGCACUUUAGGUACUCAAGGCCUG